GAUGAACGCUGGCGGCGUGCCUAAUACAUGCAAGUCGAGCGAACAGAUGAUGAGCUUGCUCCUCUGACGUUAGCGGCGGACGGGUGAGUAACACGUGGAUAACCUACCUAUAAGACUGGGAUAACUUCGGGAAACCGGAGCUAAUACCGGAGAAUAUAUUGAACCGCAUGGUUCAAUAGUGAAAGACGGUUUUGCUGUCACUUAUAGAUGGAUCCGCGCCGCAUUAGCUAGUUGGUAAGGUAACGGCUUACCAAGGCAACGAUGCGUAGCCGACCUGAGAGGGUGAUCGGCCACACUGGAACUGAGACACGGUCCAGACUCCUACGGGAGGCAGCAGUAGGGAAUCUUACGCAACGGGCGAAAGCCUGACGGAGCAACGCCGCGUGAGUGAUGAAGGUCUUCGGAUCGUAAAACUCUGUUAUUAGGGAAGAACAAAUGUGUAAGUAACUAUGCACGUCUUGACGGUACCUAAUCAGAAAGCCACGGCUAACUACGUG
rnacentral:rRNA from 1 species